rnacentral:lncRNA from 1 species
CUAUGCCAAAGCGACUGUUUACUUCUACAAAGAAUGAAGACCCAAAGGUAUUAUUGAAGAACACAUCGACCUCAGAGGCAUGGCCCAGGAGCCACAGGAGCCAGAUCCACGGAGGACGGAGGUGUCAGAGCCCGGCCUGUGUUUCAGCAAAGCCAUCCUUCAAUCGUUUUUUGUUUUUUGUUUUUUUUUUACAAGGAGAUAUAUUUUCUUUUCCAAAGACUUUAAACCAAAGUAAAAAUAAAAUAUAUAUAUAUGUGUAUAGAUAGAUAGAUAUAAAUGAAUGCAUUUUGUAAAUACCUGUGUAAGUGCGCCUAUAGCUUGUAAAGGGACCAAUGCAAUUUAGAGUCAUUCCUGCAUGGAUCUAUUUCACCGACUUUCUUCACCAAGUCUCCAAAAACGAAAAAAAAAAAAGGAAGAACAAAAAACAGCCCAAUGUAAAUUUUUCAUUUGUUUUUGCUUAUUUAUUAAAACACAUAUUUUUGAAGAAAAAAUAUGCUUGAUUUUUUUUUAAAGACAGUUCAGCUGUAAAUUUGAAGCAAUGACAUAAAACCAUGUAGCUCAGCUGAAUAAAUUCCAAUAAAACCAGUCGAAGUCAUAAAAGUUUCUGCUGAACUUCCAUCCAAGAGGAUGAAAAUGGAACUUAAAACAAUAAGUCUCCUGGUGUCAGGUUUCCCCGAUGGCUGCUGGAUUAAGACAGAAAAAAAAACCUGAAAUAGCGACAGUGUUUUUAUUCUGCUGCUGGGUGUGAGAAGUUGCCCCCAAACGCCGACAUUUAAAAAAAAAAAGGCGACCAUAAAAAAUACAGCUUCAUUAACAGUGGACGAAAUUCGAGCCAGUUUGAAACUCGGGCUUAUAAAACUCUUGUCCGUUUAAAUAAGCAGGAAUCAGUUGAAAAAGCGAUGGCGGCCCUUUAACGAGCAGGGAGCCCCAACAGCCGCAGAUAAGGACAACAACUCUCAGCCAAAAAAAUCCAAAAUAAGUCAAUAACCGGACCCCAACUAGACGACUGAGGAAAUUCCUUUGAAUCUCUCCCUUCACUUUUAAACCAUUAAAAUUGUUUACAUCUCAUUUUCCCAGACGUGGCUAGAUACAAUCUGAAUCCUGAAAGCAGCUCAUUGUUAAUGGGGCAGCAGUGGAAAUGCUGGGCGGCUCUCUGCUCCACUGAGGCCUUAAAGCUCAAUUAUUAACUAACAAUACUGUCACUGCAACUGCAAGCGAAGCCAUAAUAUCUGUUUUACUCUACAUGGUGGAAAAUAUGAAGUAGUGAGGGGAUAACAGCUGCAUGAUGCUGCUGGAUUUCCACAGUCCAGCCGGGCAGACACUGCUAGUGUUUGUGAGGCUGUGUGAUGUCUCAGGAGCCGUGUGUGUGGUGUGAGGAGGAAACACCUGCAGCCACGGUGGCUUUAUCCUCCUGCUGG